rnacentral:rRNA from 1 species
GGACAUAUCAUAACGAAGAGGUAUCGUAAUUGAAGAGGUUUGGAAAGACCCACCACAGAAGGUAAUAGUCCUGUAUGUUAAACAAGAAGACUUCAGAUAUGAUCCAGAGUACCACGGGACACGUGAAACCCUGUGGGAAUCAGGAGGGACCACCCUCCAAGGCUAAAUACUACCUAGUGACCGAUAGCGUAUAGUACCGUGAGGGAAAGGUGAAAAGAACCCCGGGAGGGGAGUGAAAUAGAACCUGAAACCCUGCACUUACAAGCU